rnacentral:lncRNA from 1 species
AUUCUGAAUGGGUAGUAGUGCCCACUGGGAAGACUUAAUUCACUUUCUAGUUCAGACACUUCUAGACUUUAACUGUCUUCCUAUGUAGUAAUCAGGGGAAUAGAAAUGUCCACUCUUCUUAUAUGGUCAAUAAUAAGAAAUUCAUCAGAAUGUAACAGUCUCUCCUUACUGCUGGUAGCAUCUGAAUCUGAAGAGAACAUCAGUGAUUGUACGAGUGUCAGAAAGCAUUCCAGACAAACAUUAUUUGUAAUGUGCAGCAAUAAUAGUAAUGAUACGUUGCAUUUGUACAAUGACAUCCAUCUCAAUGGAUACUAAAAUGCUCUAAACUCUUGGUGAUCUGCUUCUUUAAUAUGGCUGACCCAGACCUUGGAUAUUUGAAUAAUAAAAUAUGAUUAUAGCUAACA